rnacentral:rRNA from 1 species
UACGUAGGGUGCAAGCGUUAAUCGGAAUUACUGGGCGUAAAGCGUGCGCAGGCGGUUCGGAAAGAAAGAUGUGAAAUCCCAGAGCUUAACUUUGGAACUGCAUUUUUAACUACCGGGCUAGAGUGUGUCAGAGGGAGGUGGAAUUCCGCGUGUAGCAGUGAAAUGCGUAGAGAUGCGGAGGAACACCGAUGGCGAAGGCAGCCUCCUGGGAUAACACUGACGCUCAUGCACGAAAGCGUGGGGAGCAAACAGG